CUACGGGGUGCAGCAGUGAGGAAUAUUGCACAAUGGAGGGAACCCUGAUGCAGCAACGCCGCGUGGAGGAUGACGCAUUUCGGUGUGUAAACUCCUUUUAUAUGUCAAGAAAAUGACGGUAGCAUAUGAAUAAGCACCGGCUAACUCCGUGCCAGCAGCCGCGGUAAUACGGAGGGUGCAAGCGUUACUCGGAAUCACUGGGCGUAAAGGACGCGUAGGCGGGUUGGAAAGUCAGGUGUGAAAUCCUACAGCUUAACUGUAGAACUGCACUUGAAGCUUCUAAUCUAGAGUAUGGGAGGGGGAGAUGGAAUUAGUGGUGUAGGGGUAAAAUCCGUAGAUAUCACUAGGAAUACCUAAAGCGAAGGCGAUCUCCUGGAACAUUACUGACGCUAAGGCGUGAAAGCGUGGGGAGCAAACAGGAUUAGAUACCCGAGUAGUC
rnacentral:rRNA from 1 species